rnacentral:misc_RNA from 1 species
GAAAAUACUAGUGGCGAACGUAUUACUCUGCAGUUAUACCUGGGAGAAAUUGUUUCUCUCAUAUGCAGCGGAAUUACAUCAUCAUCAUGGACCAGUAAAAAGAAAUCAGCACAAGCAAUUUGCAAACUUUGUGAAGUUUUAGGCGAGUCCAUAUCAUCUUAUCAUCAAGUCCUGCUCCAAUCUCUGAUGAAAGAAGUUUCUGGCCAUAUAUGGGAGGGAAAAGAUACCAUCUUGUAUGCACUGGGUGCUAUUUCAAC